UGUUGUGCCAUAUUUCUUUUGUAGCUUUUAUCCCAUAACAAGCUUUAUUAUCUGGGUAUAUAUGGUAGAGGACUUCUGAACUAUUGUCAGAAAAUAAUGUCUCCAAAGUGACCUGGUUCUUGAUCAUAAAAUUUUUAUCAUUAAAAACAAUUAUGCAAUUUAGAUCUUUAGAUAACUUCUGAAUAGACAUGAGAUUUUUCUUUAACCCUGGUACACAUAAAACUCCCUCUAGAUUAUAUUCUUUUCCCAUAAAUUUCAAUGUGACUCUACCUCUAUAUCUAACAGGUAAGUAAUCUCCACUUCCAACUAUUACAUAUUGUGUACCUGGAGCUAUUACAUAGGCAGUGAAUGCAGUUAGGUCUGGAGUCAUAUGGUUGGCUGCUCUUGAAUCCAGGCAUCAGACUGAGUCCUCAAGUGUUGCAGCUGCUGACAUUGCCAUAUCAGAUAGUGGAGUUUGCUGAUAACUUUCUGAAUAUACUGAAUUUGUUGGUUGCUGAAUUGUGGUGUAAGUUGGAUAUGCGUAAGAAGUUGGUGGAGGCACAUGUGGUGGUAUACUGGUCACUGUGGUGUUUAAUGCUGAGAAAUUGUUAUAAUCUGGACACUGUUUGGCUAAGUGACCCUUCUUGUCACAGAUCUGACAGUUUUGGGAUUGAUCAAUAAAAGAAGGUGUUUUAAAUGUUGGUGGUGAUUGAGACUUUUAUUGUUGUUGUUGUGGUGGUGUAUUAUUUCUUGGGUAGUAAUUAUAGUUUUGUUGUUGUUGAUGAGGAUAUAUUGGUCUAUAGAAUGGUUGAGGAUUAUGGUUUGGUCUGAAAUUCAGGUUUGGUCUGUAACUGUAGUUUGGUUGAUAAUUUGGUUGGAAGUUUUGAGGUGUUGGGUAGUAAUUUUGAUUGUGUUGAUAAUUUGGGUACUGAUGAUGAUUAGGAUUUGGAUUGUAGUUGUAAUUAUAGUUUGGAUUACUUCCUCUGUAAUUAUGGUUAUAUCCCCUAUAAUUGGGGUUGUGCCCUUUGUAAUUAGGGUUGUGACCUCUAUAGCCUGUGUGAGCAGCCAUGGCUACUGUCACCUGAGAUUGGCUAUCUUCCUUGAUCCUUUUUACCAAUAAUUCUUCUCCCAAUAGCAUAUCAGCUAAUUCAUCAAAGCUUGGUACUUGUGCUCUAUUUCUGACUGUAGUCAGUAGACACCUGUAUUCGAAUCCCAUACCUCCUAAUAUAUAGUCUCUUAGACAAUUACUACUCAAUGUUUCUCCUGUAGCAUCUAGAGACUCUACCAGACCUUUUACUCUCACAAUAUAUUCUUGCAUUGUCUUUGUUGCUGCCUUCUUUAAUGUCCUCAACUGUUCUUUGAUCACUGUCACCUGAUCGAGUAGUACUUGUUGGUGACAAUAAUUUUUCUGAACUUGUCCAACCAUCAUAUGCAAAUUUGCAUUUUUGGAGCAUUAGUUAGUACUGAUUGUUUACCGUGGCCUUGAUCCAACCUAAAACCAAAUCAUCAUUGACCAUCCACUCAUCAUAUACAGGAUUGACCAUCUCAUUCUCUAACCUAGGAGUUGGGAAAGAACUUGUUCCAUUCACAAAUUUCAUGAAUUUAUGUGCUCUUAAAGCACAUUCGAACUGAUUUCUCCAUGUUAGGUAGUUCCCUCUUUCCAAUCUGUCAGGAACCAUGCUAAAAAUGUUAUAGGACACAUGUCUCAUAUAUGCUUGUUGGGGAGUAGUUGUAGGUGUAGGUGUAGACAUUUCAACCUUAAAAUAAUACAGUAGAGGGUGUUAAGUACUUCUAAUGAGAAUCCCAGAAUUAAAUCAACCUAGGCUGAUACCAUGUGAAGAAUUCAAAUCUAAACUAAUGGCUGAAAUUUGUAAUAACAAUGAAAGAAUUCUGUAAAUUUUUCAUACUGCAAAUUUAAGAAAAGCAUGAUGCAGAAUUUUGUUUAUUCGAAGAAAGAAUUUAUUCAAAGAAAGAACUAAAAUGAUUUAACAGAUUAAGAGUACAAACUAAAAGGAAAUCACAGAAUUGAAAGAAAACACUGAAAUGAUUUAAUUGAUUCAGAUUACAAACUAGAAAGAGAUUACAGAACUAAAAGAAGGUACUGAAAUGAUUUAAUUGAUUCAGAUUUCAAACUAGAAGAAGAUUACAGAAUUAAAAGAAAGAUACAAUAAUAAAACCUACAGAGUAAUGAGAUAGAAACUAAGAUUCAAAAUUAUAAGAUUAACAACUACUGAAUUCCAGAUUAAUUGUUCAAUUUGAUUGCAAUUGAUCAAGAAAACAAUACACAUUUAUUGCUAAUGAAUUGUAAAGAAACAAAACUAAAAAAUAAAAUUGAAUCUAGAACUAAAUCUUUGCUAAGAAACGAAGGCAGAAUUGACAGAAUUUGAACAUGGAAAACUAACCGGAAUUGAUACCUGAAACACGACGGAAGAUGAGAUUCAAAAACACGAAAUUGAAUGCAAGAACACCGAGGGCAAAUGGAAGAAGAUCAGGAAAAGAAGAACUCACAAAUGGAACUGUUUUUCCGGUAGCCUUUCUAAUAACUCCUCCUUUUUAUAAUCACUUCCGUGUCUCACUUAUCCCUUCAUAAGUUAAUUUAUUCGGAUCCUACCUUUGGGUGUCGGAUUCAACCCAUUUAAAAAUCCCAAAUUUAAAUCUUCUUCACUUUGGGAAGCUAUCUCUUCUUCCUCUUUCACAUACCGUACUCAAUUUGGUCAUGUAAAAUAACUUUUGGGUUCGGAUCAGGUGAAAAAAUUCAUUUGUACCCUACCCAAUGAUAUCGUGUUCGAAUCAAA
rnacentral:lncRNA from 1 species